UCUAUGAUGUCCUGCAUUGACAGUAUUUCCUACUUCAGCCAAUGGUGAUUUCAUUGGAAGAUUAGGAUUUACUGUUACAUUGCCUUCAGCCAAUGGUAACUGACUAAUUGGAAGAUAAGGAACUGUUACAUUGCCUUCAGCAUUGUCAACAGUGGGAUUUGCUGCAAUGAUACCUUUAGGGAUCCAUUUUUGCCUUUGCUUCUUUGUCCUCCCCUUGUUCCUCUCCAGGUUUG
rnacentral:lncRNA from 1 species